rnacentral:rRNA from 1 species
GGGAGGUGGGAGCUGCUCCAGGCGUCGAGUGGCGGACGGGUGAGUAAUACUUAGGAAUCUGCCCAGUAGUGGGGGACAACAUUCGGAAACGGAUGCUAAUACCGCAUACGCACUACGGUGGAAAGUGGAGGACCUUCGGGCUUCACGCUAUUGGAUGAGCCUAAGUCGGAUUAGCUUGUUGGUGAGGUAAAGGCUCACCAAGGCGACGAUCCGUAGCUGGUCUGAGAGGACGAUCAGCCACACUGGGACUGAGACACGGCCCAGACUCCUACGGGAGGCAGCAGUGGGGAAUAUUGGACAAUGGGGGCAACCCUGAUCCAGCAAUGCCGCGUGUGAAGAAGGCCUGCGGGUUGUAAAGCACUUUCAGUAGAGAAGAAGAGCCUAGGGUUAAUACCCCUGAGUCUUGACGUUACCUACAGAAGAAGCACCGGCUAACUCCGUGCCAGCAGCCGCGGUAAUACGGAGGGCGCAAGCGUUAAUCGGAAUUACUGGGCGUAAAGCGCGCGUAGGCGGUUUUGUAAGUCGGAUGUGAAAGCCCCGGGCUUAACCUGGGAAUUGCACUCGAUACUGCUUAACUAGAGUACGGUAGAGGGAAGUGGAAUUUCCGGUGUAGCGGUGAAAUGCGUAGAUAUCGGAAGGAACACCAGUGG